UGAAGUCACCUGUCCUCUCUUUAGAAU
rnacentral:piRNA from 1 species